GCACAUGAACUGCGUCUUCGAUGAAGGUGGUAUCUGGACAGCCUCCUUCAGCUACAAAGGAAGCAAGGCACAGUGAAAUUACUUUUCUGCAAUGUGAGGACACAGGUAAAAUGGUGGUUUGCUGUCUGAUGAGCACUGAGAGCUAGUUGGCUGGAACCUUGAUCCUGGGCUUCACAGCUUCUCCAAACUCUUUUACAGAAGCAGACUGGGACUGGGAUUUUCCUAUCUUCACCAAAACGGAAAAGGGAAGACUUGGAAGAAUGCAAGGGUAUUCUACAUUCCCCUUAGUACCCCAUUAAG